GUUUAGUUCAUCUUUUGGAAACACUAAUCAGGCUUGGCGAGGAUGCCAUGAGAAAGGAAGCUCGGAUUUAGUUGCAAUUGUCUCUGAUAGAUGCGCCCUCUCAGAGGUUCCUUUAGCUGCAGAUAAACCCACUCAAAGCCUCAAAGUUUUAGCAGUAAGAAAAAUAUGGACAGGCCUAUUACUCUGUACCCUGUGGAACCC
rnacentral:lncRNA from 1 species